AUGUACAGAUUCUGUCAAAAUUCCUCUCUGGGCUAACUUUCACCAAGUUACCCAUUAUUUCAAUUGAUGAACCAGUGACUCACUUUUCUAUCUGGCCUCCUGUGUAAUGAAGCUACAGCAAUGCCCUGGACUUUCUCGUGUGGCUUUUUGCUUUGCUGAUGUGCCAUGUGAUCACUGGAAAAUCUCCAAAGGAAGGGUUAUUCCAAACUCAGUCUAUGCAGUAUAUAAUUUGCUGUGAAGAUGUACAGGAAAAUGGAUGCAGUUAAGUUCAAUUCAAUUGGAUGUGCAGAAGCAAGAUGUCCUAGAAGCGAGAGAGUCAUGAAAGAAGGUUUAA